rnacentral:rRNA from 1 species
UACGAAGGGGGCUAGCGUUGUUCGGAAUUACUGGGCGUAAAGCGCGUGUAGGCGGGUCUUUAAGUCAGGGGUGAAAUGCCAAGGCUCAACCUUGGAACUGCCUUUGAUACUGGAGAUCUUGAGUCCGGGAGAGGUGAGUGGAAUUGCGAGUGUAGAGGUGAAAUUCGUAGAUAUUCGCAAGAACACCAGUGGCGAAGGCGGCUCACUGGCCCGGAACUGACGCUGAGACGCGAAAGCCGUGGGGAAGCAAAGCAGGGAGU